GUUCACUGUUCAGUGUGUUUUGGGUUCUUCUUGGAUAUCUUGGAUUUAUUCUCUGAUUGUAAGAAAAAUGACAGUAUCCCUGGUUUGAUCCUGAGCUCAGGUUACAGUCUGUGUGGAGUUUCACAUGUUCUCCUUGUGUCAGUAUGGAUUUCCUCUUGGUUCUUCGUUUUCCUCCCCAAAACAUGCAGUCCCUGUAUGAUGCAUUCACUCCAGUUUCCAUGAUGCCCAGCUCACAACCAUGUCACAUGAUCCUUUGUCAAACAUCUAUGCCUGUUCUCGCUCACCUGACUACUAAUUCAAUUCACCCGUUCACAAUCACGCACACUCCUAUAUACAUACAUUGCAGAGUCCAGUAUUGUGCAUGAGAUAUUACUAAGCCUUUCCUUAUUUCCUGUUUUGCCUCAGUAUUUUGACCUCAGCUUUAUUUACCUUUCUCCUGUUUACUCUGCGUAGUUCAUGCCUGUUUGACAAUCACCUUACCUGUGUCUGUUUAUUUGAUAUUAAGUUUUAUUGCCUUGCCCUUCUGAUUUGUUUGCUUUGGUGAUUUUUUUAAUAAAAGUUAAAACCUAUACACCUUGAUGGCCUCAUUCUUGUCGA